CCUACGGGUGGCAGCAGUGGGGAAUAUUGGGCAAUGGGCGCAAGCCUGACCCAGCAACGCCGCGUGAAGGAAGAAGGCUUUCGGGUUGUAAACUUCUUUUAAGAGGGAAGAGCAGAAGACGGUACCUCUUGAAUAAGCCACGGCUAAAUACGUGCCAGCAGCCGCGGUAAUACGUAGGUGGCAAGCGUUGUCCGGGUUUACUGGGUGUAACGGGCGUGCAGCCGGGAAGACAAGUCAGAUGUGAAAUCCCGGGGCUCAACCGCGGAACUGCAUUUGAAACUGUUUUUCUUGAGUACCGGAGAGGUCAUCGGAAUUCCUUGUGUAGCGGUGAAAUGCGUAGAUAUAAGGAAGAACACCAGUGGCGAAGGCGGAUGACUGGACGGCAACUGACGGUGAGGCGCGAAAGCGUGGGGAGCAAACAGGAUUAGAUACCCUUGUAGUC
rnacentral:rRNA from 1 species